rnacentral:rRNA from 1 species
CAUGGUCCUCCCGUAAGGGACAUCAGUACAGGUGGUGCAUGGCUGUCGUCAGCUCGUGUCGUGAGAUGUUGGGUUAAGUCCCGCAACGAGCGCAACCCUUAUUCUUAGUUGUUUCCCUUUGGGGAUUACCCUCUAAGAAGACUGCCUCGGAUAACGGGGAGGAAGGUGGGGAUGACGUCAAGUCCGCAUGCUCCUUACGUCUAGGGCUACACACGUCCUACAAUGGGGUCGACAAUGGGAUGCAAUAUCGCAAGAUGGAGCCAAUCCCCAAACGGCCUCUCAGUUCGGAUUGUAGUCUGCAACUCGACUACAUGAAGUUGGAAUCGCUAGUAAUGGCAGAUCAGCAUGCUGCCGUGAAUACGUUCCCGGGUCUU